GAUGAACGCUGGCGGCGUGCCUAAUACAUGCAAGUAGAACGCUGAAGGAGGAGCUUGCUCUUCUGGAUGAGUUGCGAACGGGUGAGUAACGCGUAGGUAACCUUCCUGGUAGCGGGGGAGAACUAUUGGAAACGAUAGCUAAUACCGCAUGACAACAGUUAUUGCAUGAUAACUGGUUAAAAGGGGCAACUGCUCCACUACCAGAUGGACCUGCGUUGUAUUAGCUAGUUGGUGAGGUAACGGCCCACCAAGGCAACGAUACAUAGCCGACCUGAGAGGGUGACGGGCAAAACGGGAACGGGAAAAGGCUCCGGACUCUAACGGGGGGAGGCGGUGGGGAAUAUUGGAAAUGGGGGGAAGUCUGAACGCGGAAAGCCGCGGGAGUGGAGGAGGUUCUCGGAUUGUAAAGGCCCGUUGUAUGGGAAGAAAAACUGUCAGAGUGGAAAGUUCACAGUGUGACGGUACCUAAACAGAAAGCGACGGCUAACUACGUG
rnacentral:rRNA from 1 species